CAGGCCCCAUCAGCCAAUCGAGGCGCCGGAGGCCAUGUGGGGCGGGCCGCUCGGGUCCAAUCCCCAGGCUUUAAAUCCGCUGCCGCGGAGUCACAGCGCUGGGAGCUUUUGGGUCUCUACGUGCUGACUGCACCUGCUCGGCUGCGCCCCGAAGGUUUUGAAGCAUGAAUCCAGGAGGAGCUUCAUCUGCUCCAAAACAUGAUGCAAGUUUAGAUGCAGAAUGGCAGCUGUGGAAGGCAACACAUGGAAAAGUAUAUGGCCCGAAUGAAGAAGGAUGGAGGAGAACAGUGUGGGAGAAGAAUAAGAAAAUGGUUGACCUGCACAACGAGGAAUACAAGCUAGGGAGAACGAGCUACACCUUGGGAAUGAAUGCUUUUAGUGACAUGACCCAGGAAGAAUUCACACGGAUGAACUGCGGUAAAAA